rnacentral:rRNA from 1 species
AUGGGGUGGGGGCAGGGCGGCGUACUGAUCCGGGGACGGGGCGGCGCACUGGCCGGACCAGGGAACGGGAGAGAUCUGAGGGCGGGGUGGCGUGUGCCAGAUCCAGGGCCGGCGGCGGCGCGCGGGAUCCAGGGCGUGGGAGGGGGGUGGUGUAUCGAGAGGAAUCGAGGGAAGUGGUGGAUCGCUCGAUCCGGGCUCGUCGAUUUGGGUAACGAGGCACUUCCUCAUGUCAACGAUCCUCCUAUGCAUCUCAUAGCAUGUGUACAUGCUCUUGGCCGUGAACCUAAGGUUCUUGCAGGCCAAGCUCAUAACACUGAGUGUGUUUACAUCGUCAGUGGUUUCCACCGUGGUGAACUUGUAGUCGGUGCUGUUGACAAGCCUGUUGAAAUGGUCGCAAGGCUCUGUGGCCAUGCAGUAGUGGUAGAUGAGGACAUGAUGGCCCACACACAACUGGGCGACGGCAACCUUCUGAUCUAUGCCGAGACGACCGGUGGUGUACUGGAGGUUGAUGCCGACCGCCUUGUACUUGUCUCGAGCAAGCAACUACUCAACGUUGUUGAUGUAGUCGUCCACCACGUCCGGGUCGAUGGUGUACACCACUGA